rnacentral:rRNA from 1 species
AUGAGAUUCAGUCGGCGGUCACAUCGUCUCGUCGUGCAAUCCAAGCUACAGAUUCUUCUUCACGAAGGCACGACGCGAGUGGAUGUGCGGGCUACUACCGCUAAGGCCUGCGAAUGGCCCAUCCUAUCCUAUCCUGGUGGCUCUGGCCCGCCACCAAAACGCAGCCCAGCACCGCCGUCAUUUCCGCUCGAGUUAGUGUCCCCCUCGACGGAGAGGAGCAGAGCGGCUCCUCCUCCCCCUCGACGCCAAGCCAACCAGCAGUCAGUCAGGCCAAGCCAAGCAGCAGGCAGCCCUCCUAAACUCCUCCUGCUAUUAGUACAAGGGGACUACUUCCCUCUGUUCCUUUGCAAGAUGAAGUAG